rnacentral:sRNA from 1 species
AAUGGUGAUGAUGAAGAC